UAGACGUGCGGUGGCGGCAAGCCACCAGUCGGACGUGAGCUGGUAGGAAAAACAGUCACUUUGGAGCUUAUAUGUGUUAGCUCUCCAAUCGCUGGGCAUUUGUGACCCGCAUACUUAACGGAUGGUUGAAGUCAGCUCUUAAACAUCGUGACACUGCCGCUUGAUUACAGUCUCUUCUGUGCCGCAGGAAUGGCAAGAGUUCUCUGGAUUCUGACGACGCUAUCGGUCGCAGGGUCUUCUGAAAAGCUGAAACGGUCUCCAAAUUUAGCAGUUUUCAAUUAUCCUUAUAUCAGUACUUCGACAAAUUUUACCAUCAUAGCUGGUGAGACUGUCGUAUUGGAUUGCCCACUAGGGGGCGUUGUAAGAGAUGAAAUUUCCUGGGAGAAGGGUAGCCGCCGGAUCCCUGACAAUCAACGUCAAAGAAUCUUUCCUAAUGGAAGUUUGGUAAUUUCUAAUAUAAACAGUGAGCAGGAUGAGGGUCACUAUGAAUGUUCUGGUUCAACACAGAAUGGCCAAUUACAGCGCAAGGUCAUGAUGUUAAACGUCAGAGUGGCCCCAAAGAUUGAUCCCUUCACCUUUAAAAGUGAUCUAUCUGAAGGGUCUCGAGCAGCAAUUUCGUGUGUUGUUGUUGCUGGGGACAGUCCAAUGUUCGUCAAGUGGUUCAAGGACGGACAUCAGUUGGCUGACGGUGACCACGGAGCGUCCAUAGUUGUAGCAGCUGAGGGUUAUGUGUCGACAUUAACUUUAGACAACUUGUCUCGAAGAUUCAAUGGUAAUUACACAUGCCGAGCGUCCAACGCUGUGGGCACAGAUUCUUACAGCGCAUACCUGGAGGUUAAAGCACCACCUCAUUGGACGAAACCUCCAGUCGACUCUAGUCCUGUUUUGGGGAGAUCUAUGGUGUUACAUUGUCAGGCAGAAGGAUAUCCAGCGCCGCACAUCCGCUGGAAAGUGGCAAAAGGCACACCACCUGGACCUUAUACCACAAUAAUUAGCAGAUCACGAAUUUACAUCUUAGUCAACGGAAGCUUAGUCAUUACCAGUGUACAAAAAGAAGAUGAGGGCUUGUACCUGUGUGAAGCUAGUAACGGGGUAGGCCAACCAAUCAGCUCUGCUGUAGCUUUAACCGUAAACAGUCCUCCACAAUUUGUGUCCAAAUUCUCAUCCCAGACUCUGAGAAAAGGAGAUAGAGCUGUGAUACGAUGUAAUACUAUUGGAGAAACUCCUAUAUUUAUACAGUGGCGUGUGAAUGGAAAAGAGUUUGAUCCAUCAAAUCGACGGAGCUAUAAAUACAGAGAAGAUUUUACGCAGGAAGGAAGAAUGGCAGAAAUAAUAAUUCCUUCUGUUACGAGAGAUGAUAGUGCUACCUAUACGUGUGUGGCUCGCAAUGAUUACGGAGAAGAUAACGUGGAUAUUGAAAUCACUGUCCAAGAGAUCCCCGAUAUGCCACACAGGAUCAGAGUUCAAGAAAUUACAAGUCGUGUUGCAGAUUUAUCUUGGCCGCCUCCUUACGAUGGUAACUCUGAAAUUAUAGAAUACGUUGUCCAAUGGCGGGAAGAGCAUGACCACUGGAAUGAAAAUAAUCAAAGAACAGUAAAAGGGACUGAAACAAGUACAAGGAUUGGAAACUUAAAACCCCAAACGAACUAUAGAUUUAGGAUUAGAGCAAAAAACUCCAUCGGAGCUGGUAAUUUCUCCACUGAAAUUCAACAAAAGACCGCUGCGGAACCUCCUCAAUCUUCGCCCUCUGAUGUCAGAGCUGUUGCUGUAAAAUCAAGAGCCAUUAUUGUAUCGUGGUCGCCCUUGAAAGAACUCGAAACAGGUGUAACUGUACAAGGGUACUACGUUGGGGUCAAACCUCGUGCGUCGUCUCAAUCGUUCACGUUUCGAACUGUCAUGUUGGACGACGAAAAUAAAGUGGAACAAGAAAUAUCAGGUUUGGAGAGAGACACAGAAUACAUCGUCAUUGUCCAGGGUUUCAAUAGUAAAGGCCCAGGUCCACCGUCAGAUGAAGUUUAUGUGAAGACCCCUAAGUAUGACCGUCCGCGCACUCCUGUAUUAAAGAUAUCCGUUACCACAGCAACGUCAAUAACGGUCACAUGGGAUAGAUCAAAACAUCCACAUAAUCCAGUAUCCGGUUAUACGAUGCUCUACAAAAAAGAAAACUCGGUUAACUGGCAGACGACUAACGUCAAUGGGGACGAAACCAUCCACACAAUACAGUCCCUGGACUGUGGCGCCGUCUACCAAAUAUAUCUCGUGGCGUUUAACAUUGUCGGAAAAAGUGAACCAAGUCAGACAAUUUCGGCUAAAACUGACGGUCAUGCACCCAUAGCCCCGAACAAAGCUGCGUUUCUAACAGCCAACUCAACUUACGUUAUUCUUCACUUGAACGCUUGGAGGAAUGGCGGCUGUCCCAUCAAGUUUUUUGUCAUACAGUACAGACUACGUGACCAGAUGGAGUGGACACUGGUGUCUAACAAUAUCCUGCCUAAUCAGCAAGACAUAAUAGUCGCGGAAUUAACUCCAGGCACGUGGUAUACCUUACUAACUUCUGCCCACAACGAUGCAGGAAUCACUGAUGCUGAAUUUGUGCUUGCUACGCUGACUCUAAAUGGAGAAUUUCCAAGAAGUCCAUCCGAAAUAAGGUCGGUAAACUUCCUUUAUCGCCAUCUAACGGUAACUGUUCCAGUUGCUAGCUCACUGCUAGUUUUGAUUGUGGUAUUUAUAGUUGUAUGUCAGGUGACCCGACGAAGGUCCCCAGGCCCACGGAACCACUCCCCGGAGGGAACAGAAAACAGUGAACAAUUAAAACAAGACAACAUGUCACUCACUGUUACAUACGACAGUAACCAGGAAUCUGCCUAUCUUCCUGCACCAUAUGCCACUACCAAGGUUCCCAUGUACUCUCGAGAGCAGAGUGGUCCUCCUAGGGGAGGUUGCGAUCCGAGUAUGCGUACAUUCGGUAGUAGUCGCCAUCUUUAUGACGUACCUAAUCCAAAUAGAAAAAUACAAUCCAGACCAGUCACCAGCAACAUUCUAGUCAACGAGUACCAAAAAUCAACUCUUCUGCAGGAAGGUAAACCGUACUUAUACAGGAAAAGUCACAAUCCUGCAGACCACGGGCAGAAAGGUCGUAGAAGAGAUUUUGGAGAUGGGAGUUCUGGAAGCGAGUCCGAUGAAGAGAUUCGAUUCACAACCAACAAGGAACAUUUCAAGGAAAGUGACCAUGAUAUCAUUCACGGGUCUGAAACGGAAUGUGAUCGUCAAUGUGUUAUUUCACUAAGGAAAAUUGCAUUGCGUUUGUUUCUAACCAAAGGAGAGUGACUGCAAUGCAUUGUAAGGCGAAAAUAUUUGGAUUUCGAUGCGAUGGGUGCAUCCAGCACAAUAAAGAACUGCGGUUCGCUAAGUAGCCGUAGGGAUUUUUUUUCCGCUGGAUGCCACCGUUCCUUAUCAUUAUACUAAGUGCAAGAAAAGACCACUACCGAAGGAAAAAGGUCCGGCGAUCUAGGAACCAACUUGACGAGUUAGACACAGUCCAAAUUUUAUAGACAGAUGAUUUACAAGGACC